UUUUUUUUACCUGUUGUGCCACUUCUGCUGUAAUAAAUGUACUUAUAUUCUGAUUCUGUUACUAAAUCAGCUAUGGCUUUUCCUUUAGCAUGAUUAAGUUCUAUGAGUUUUCAACAAAAUCAACACAACAAACAAAAUGGGAAAGCAUUCAGGGUUUGAAUGAACUAAACAAAACAACUGAAGGCGUGGUAAAUGAUGAAGGUGUUUGUCCUGUUUGCCUCUCUCUGGCCGGUACCUGUCUGACGAUCAGAGUGCUGUCUUUGCAGGGCGUCGAGCCGGCGUCGCUCUCGCCUUCGUCGUGAACGAUCAUGGUUUUCACCGACUCCGUCUCUCCAUUGCUCAGCCUGGAAGAACUGCAGGAGAAAAGAAAAGUUAAAGGAAAAAUAUAAUUCUUAUCCACAAGCACCUCUUUUCACGCUCUGUCUGUGAUUGGUCAACAGCUUCGAGAUGUCCCGCCCCUCAGUCAAUCAUGUAUAAUGUGUUGGAGUGGGAGCCUAUUGAAGCUUGAGUAUUACAAAAUGAUGUCACUAUGUCCUUUAAGUACAAAAGAGUCCAAUGGAGGUGUUUCAUGCACCUAUAUAACUCACUACAGAAAAGAGAAAUUGGGUCUCUUGAAAGUUGUACAUACACAGCUUUGGAGUCCUCCGGGCCAGAGGUCGACUCCUCGCCGGCCUCCUGGUCCACCUCUUCAUCGUCAUCUUCAUCGGUGGUGUCUGAAUCAUCACUGGAGGACGAAUAAUCUGUCACUUUAUUCGGGGGGCGAACGUCAUCCACUGCACGGAGCUCCUUUGCCAGAGCCGUCAGGUCCUAAAGGUCGGGAGGUGAAAGAAAGUGAAAGCAGGAAACAGAGAGCUGCAGGAAAAGGAAGAGGGGUUAUCACCAGCCAAUGAGAAGCCAGCGUGAAAGCAGCAUGAGGCGAGGAAAGAGAUGACUGUCGGGCAGCUGAUGCUCUUCAAGCCACUGAAGCGGGCCCUGAAUCUUUCUCCAGAGCCGCAGUGAGACCCGGGCUGAGAGCUGGAGUUACUGGAGCUGCUGGAGGAACUGGAGCCUCCGCUGCCGGUGUUACUGGUUGUUCUGGGAACCAGUUUCUCCACCCGCUCCCACAGCAGCCGAGGCUCCGGCGCACUGUGGGGCCAACAGGCAAGAAAGUUAGCGAUGAAGAGACUUUUUUUACUUUGUGCUUUUUUAUUCUGACAGUAACUGAUGUACAUUUCACAAAAUAAACUCCAAUUGUCCUUCUGUGGCUUAGCAGGUGCCUAAAUGAUUAAAAAGGGAAACAGAAAUUGGAAAAAUCCUGCUUAAUGAUUGCUUUAACAAAGUCCACGACAAGGCUCACAAAUGUGCUAAGUCGCUGGGAGUUAUAAAGUAAGAACAGAGGAUAUUUUGUUCUUGAGAAAACAAAGUGCAGCCCCCCAGGGAGUAAGAUGCCACACAGAGACUCUCAUGAGACAACUUAAGGCUUGUAAAUAGAAAAUGUUGCAAGUGUGUGUGAGCACAUUCACACACAGUUACAGAAAUAUCACAAGGUUAGACAGCUAGCUGUGUUACAUAAACCCUCCCACACAACUCCAUAAACAAAGAAUACAGCAGCGCAGACAGUGAGGAGACUGGGUUCACUUUACAGACACAACCCUCUUUAUGUGUGUGUGUUAAAUUCAUCUCCCAACAAGGCGGGCGUUUGUCUUUGCUUUCUUUUCUGAGAGUUAUAUAUUUUAUGUCUUUUAAAUUACACGGUUUAAAACAGCAGACUGAUUUUCACACUGUUUCAAACACUUUUCCCCCUGAAGGCUGUGGACAAAUUGACAUUGACAGAUCCAGCCCUGUUUACAGCUGCUCCACUGACAUAUUUCUGUCUGGUACA